GUGCUUGCUUCAGCAGCACAUAUACUAAAAUUGGAAUGAUACAGAGAAGAUUAGCAUGGCCCCUGUGCAAAUUCAUGAAGCAUUCCAUAUUUUU
ensembl:snRNA U6 U6 spliceosomal RNA